UCCUCGCUCAAAGAAUCGCAUUCAAAGCUUACGCACAGAGGAAGUCUUCCUUCUUCAUACCAUUACUCCUAGCUUUGGGAGAAAGUCCCCGGACACCCUGCGCCCUCGUCUUAAAACCACGAGGGUUCCUCAUCCAACAAGCCAGGCACUGCGGAAACGCGCCGCCAUAGAAGCAUUUUUCAUAGCGGCUUACGCCUCUUUUUCCCUUCCCUUCCUCUUUUCUCUCGGGGAAAGAAGAAGGGCUCGUCUCCGUUCUAGCCCGACUCUUCAGAUGUUUUAUUCUGUGGAGGAAACAAUGGUGGUUUAGAUGGGGCGGGGUCUUUUUGACGAAGGGGGAGGUUGCUAUUCGUCGUGGUUCGAUAGUCAUGCGAUUGCUUGGCUUCCCGCGUGUAUUUUUUUUAUUAUAUAUGUGUGGAGCCGGGUAACUCGAUGGGGCUUAUUCUUGAGGCGAGG
rnacentral:RNase_MRP_RNA from 2 species